rnacentral:rRNA from 1 species
AAACUGGGAGUAAUACCGUAUACGCCCUUUGGGGGAAAGAUUUAUCGGAGAAGGAUCGGCCCGCGUUGGAUUAGGUAGUUGGUGGGGUAAUGGCCCACCAAGCCGACGAUCCAUAGCUGGUUUGAGAGGAUGAUCAGCCACACUGGGACUGAGACACGGCCCAGACUCCUACGGGAGGCAGCAGUGGGGAAUCUUAGACAAUGGGGGCAACCCUGAUCUAGCCAUGCCGCGUGAGUGAUGAAGGCCUUAGGGUUGUAAAGCUCUUUCAGCUGGGAAGAUAAUGACGGUACCAGCAGAAGAAGCCCCGGCUAACUCCGUGCCAGCAGCCGCGGUAAUACGGAGGGGGCUAGCGUUGUUCGGAAUUACUGGGCGUAAAGCGCACGUAGGCGGACUGGAAAGUCAGAGGUGAAAUCCCAGGGCUCAACCUUGGAACUGCCUUUGAAACUAUCAGUCUGGAGUU